CCUCCCCCCCCCGGGUAAGACUUCCAGCCACGAAGCCUUCCCCCACUUCAGCAGCAUGGGGACUAUAUAAGCCUGGAGGUAGGACUGCUCAGUGAUGGUCCUAAAGAGACUGCCAGUGCAUUUGUUUGUUACCCUGAAAUCUUUUAGUUCAGGCGUCAGGGCCUCAAGGACUAGGAUGUUGGGCUAAUUGCACUGGAUACGCAUAGUCAUUACCUAUGAACUGAGCAGAUAAUGAUUUACAGUGGCCAGUGGAGCAAACUGAGGACUCCUUGCCCACUCACUAUUUAAAUACCCAGCUGGUGCUUUAGUUUGCUUGUGAUUAGGAGAGUUCUGAUGGGCUGUAUCCCCAGCUCCAGGCACAGAUCCCUGAAAGAGGAGCCAUUCAGAUACCUAAAACAAGGAGACAGGCAAACCCUCCUUCUCGCAGAUCUCCUUUUACACCACCCAGCACCACCCAUUUGGACCUGCUGUGAUCCCAUGAUUGGAAGGACAUUUUACAAACAUUUCAGUUCAAAUGCCCUGAGCAGAGGCGUUCCACAGGAGUCAGAAAUGGUGACUUGGAAACAAGAGACCUUAAACUAAAAGCAUUGUUGGAGUUGAAACAUGUUCAGUGGUUUUGUUACAUUUCUUCUGUAUACUGGCAGUUGGUCUUUCAUUCUCCUUUAGCUUUCAGAGUAAGGAUCUACCUACCGCCUGAGAGCUCCACACUCAUGGAAGACAACAAGACUCACGAAGCAACAGCAAAACGGAGAGCAGCAACACCCAACAAAGACUGUGAAGCACCAGGUGUGUAGUCGCCACUGGAACAGCCGCUUCAUGGGAGGUAGCCUAGGAUGGAGCCCAGCCUGCCUGGAGAUGAGGGACCAGAGCAACUGGACAAGGCAGCAUGCUCAUCUGAGUUCCCAUAAAGUCCCUGGGAAUGACUUUCUUCAGAACAGUAGGACACCAGGCUCUCCCCACAGCCUCCUUCAUUCCUUCAGCUCAGGGCUCUGCACACAAGCUGUCGUCAGCAAAACCUUCAGUAACCAUGCUGAUACACAUAAGAGAUGGAAAGGGGAACCACUGUUUCUUGAGGGGGAGGCUGAGGAAACAGGUGACGCGUGGUGGGAGGAUGAGCACUGAGAAAUGGAGAAAUGAAAAAUAGAAGGUUUUCGCUAGAGCUGUGACAAAUAUAGCUCUUCUAAGUGUAAUGGAACUAGACGGCCCACUAGAGUGGGCAGAGACAACUUGGUGGCCUUUUAAAAGAGGAAGGAGUGACAAAUAUGUGAAGAUACUAAACUGAUGUAUAACCUGAGAGCCCUGACUCUCAAGCUUUUGGGGUUCACGCUGAGGUGAUUUUAAGAAGCUACUGGUCCAAAUUGCCCACCCAUUGCCACAGGUUAUUGCCCCAUUACUGACUUGUCAGAAAUAGCAGUGUGCCUACACCAGACUGAUAUAUUGACAUAAACUGAGGUGACUGUGGCUAAUUCAGUUCACUAGGAUGUGGACUGUGGUGGCCAAGGGAUCUCCUUCUUGAUCCCUAUCAGAUCUAGUUGAACAGGUGAUCAGCUGAGGUCAGAAACCUCCUGAGCCAUCACAGCCUAAGUUGACAAGCACCAAGAGUUGCCAAGAGAUCACCAGGAGAGCCUUGAUACCAUUUUAGCCAAUUUGCUUGUCUUUAGACCUCCUUUUCUCUGCUUUUCACAAAUUCCUUUAUUGCCCUAGCUUGCAGAAGGUUUACAAAAGCACUGUAAGCUCGUUCUUUUGGUCUGUUGUCUUUCCCCUAGGGAGCCGAGUGCCAGAGCGAGUAGCAUAGACAGGAUGUAAUCCCUUGACAUGGUUCAGCAAAGAGCACUGGUAGUUUUAUAGCAUGGCUGUCAGGGUGCAGCGAGGGCCGGGGAGAAAUCCCAGGGUGGGAAGGCAGGGCCUGGCAGCCAGGGCCUGUCCCACCGCCCUGGCCAGGGCAGCCCAGGCAGAGGCAGCCCCAGCUCCGGGCAGCCGGCGCCUCCAUGGGGAUGGGAACGGGCCCACGGCCAGGCAGGGCAGGGCUUUGGGGAGCUGGAGACCGGCCCUGCUGUGGCAUCAUGGGGCAGGGAUCCACAGCCCCGGGUGGCUGAAAUGGGGUCCUGGGCUCUGGGCAGGGUGGGGGGAGCCCCAGGAGAGCUGGGGCAGGGACAGGCAGGGCUGGUGGUGCCCUCAGGGCCCUGACAAUGUCAUUGACCAAGACUGACACUUUUGAUCAUCUCUGCUCAUAUUAAGGAACUACAGAGGAAAACCUCCUCCAAGAAAUGUGUUGCAAAACUAAGCUUAAUCCACUGUAAUCGAAGUUCAUUAUUGUUACCUUCGUCAUGUGCUCUGAUAACCACAGUGCAAAUUACCACUGCAGAGCUGAAAAGAUGCCUUACACUUGGUGCCAGGUUUGCACUGCUUCUGGAGAUGCGGUUUAGCUCAGACUACAGCGAUCCCUGCACAUGCUAGGAGGAGCUGCUAAUAAAUGGCAAGUAGUCCCACGAGAAUCACGACUAAUGGCUCCCGCUCAGUUAGAUAAUCAACCAUUUAAUAAAGGGUGAGCUUCUACCUCUUCCCUUCCAUGGGGAGCAUUAAUGCAUUAUUUUUCCCCUCCUUAGCCACUUAUUUCCACAAAAGUGGUAGGAAUGUAAUAUUUUUGAAACCACUCUUCCUCUAUUAAUCUUAGCUGAAAUUGCCUCAUGGAUUCAAAAGUUAUUAGGAAUAGCUAGAUGGUUGUACAGAUGUUGACAGACAGACACAAAGCAUUAUUGUAUUAAGAAAGCACUCAAGUUUAUAGCAACACAGAUUUUUUUAAAUCACGUUAACAUCCAGCAGAUAGCUACUAGUAUGAGGAUUAUGUUUCAUUUCUACACAAGUCUGCCUCACUAACAGCCUAAGAAGCUAAAGGAGCUCAGAAAGAAGUGGCCAUUGCUUAGACUUCAUGCCUUGAUGGUCUUCUCUGGGAAGGAGUGAUUGCACUUUCAGGACUUGGCAGGAGGGCUUGCAUAAAUACUCUUCAGAGACUAAAAGUUUUGCUUUGCACAUCUGAUUCCAGAUCUUUCAAAGCUGCAGUUACCAUCUUUCUCCCCUCCAACAUUUUAUAAAUUAAACCGUCUCUUACUCUGUCCGCUUCCCAUGUUAGCCUUUCCCUUCUCUUACCUUGAGACUUGAAGGAGCAGAGGUUGCUGCUCUUACCGAUGCUGAGCUUCUCAAUAGCUAAAAAGCCAUGUUGCUUUAUGUGAGUAUUUGUUUCUCAGGGAAGUUCAAGCUUUAGAUAUAAACAUUUGUGAGUAAUUUCUCCUUAGGACUAUUUAAAAUAUAAUGAGAUCUACAUUUUAUAUUGAUUUGAGCUUUGGUUUACUUGUUCAUGUAUUUUUUAAAAAGAACAGAUGCUGCUUGAAUGUUUCCUAUGAGGCAGAUUAAACACACUCUAGAGAGCACACCUGAGCCAAAGGUCAAUCUUUCUCAGCGAGCCAGCUAGCAACAAAUGGCUCCAUGGUUUCCCAAUUUUGGUAAUGAAGGCUUAUAAAGUAGACUAUAAAGAAAUUAUUUUUAUUUAUUUUUAUUUAACUGCCUACAAACUACUGAAAUACAUGUUUUGAAAAUUUUUGCUCUAGUAGCCUGCAGAGGAUAGCAUCUGGUUUUCUACCUACAGUAUUAUUUAAUUUGGAAAAUUCCAAGUCUUCCAAUAAAUUGGUCUGGCAGCUUUCACUGUAGAAUCACAAGUUGAGUGGUUUCCACUGCCAGCCAUACCUACAGUUCUGCCCUUCUGAGAAGUGUAUUUCUCGCAAGACUUAAGCUUCUUUCCAAUUAAAGUCUGAAAUGGCUUUGUCGUAUCUGUGGGCCACUGUACUUGUUGUAAAGCACCUCAUUUAACUAAUCUCACUGCCAUUGCCUUUAAAAUGAUGGUGUUCAUGCCCAGGACAAGCACUCUGUUUCUUCCAUGAGAGGUUUGGUUACCUCAGAGAGUUGUGCCAAAUAUGUCAGGGAAAAAUAAUCUCUUCAAAACUCUCCAUGCUAGCCCUAAGCAGAGUAGUAAAAACAGAUUGGUGAAAUAAAAGCUGUGAUCUGUCACCAUGUAUGGCUAGGAGGAAUUACUGAAAAGCUCAUUGUGUUCCCUCCUCACCCUCUGAAUCACUCUGGGUAUUACAGUUUAGUCUAUGUAUUUCAAAGGCAGAAGAGAAAUCAAUGUUGCAUCAGCAUUCAGAAUGUCAAAGCCACCCAAACAAGCAGUGGAUGUGUCAUUUGUUUGUGAUGAUCUCUACUAACAGAUUAUUCUGUAAACUAUCUUAAGCUAAAACUCUAGUUUGUUUAUCUUCAGAAAGGGACUAGGCAGUUUUUGGGGGGAUGAAGGGAGAAAGUAAUACUUUUUUUCAGGAAGAGCUUUUUACUGCUACUCAUCCAAAGACAGAGCAACUGUUAGUUGGUCCGUUUGAGUGAUUUUCUUAAAUGAAGGUGGGGAAUAACAAGUCACAGGAAGCCUGGCCAUGUUUCCAGGGGAGAACAGAGCAUUUGUCUCCUAUCUAUCUAAAGUGGCCAACCAAAAUGGCAAAGUCCCUCAGCAAAAAAGCAGAAUUAUAUGAAUUUAAAAAUACCACAAGCAUUUCAGUACGUAGCUACAUAUGCCAUGGAGACUGAGACAUUUCCUACUGACAGUGGAAGCAGAAUGUUUAUAUUAUAAAUUAUUCUUGAUGGCUCUGAAUGAUAAAUGUCAAAAACAAGUGAUCCUAGAGGGAACUCUAUUCUAGCAGAAUUCUAAAUCUGUUCUGAAAAGCAUAUUCAGACUGAAGAAAUUGAUGGAACCGGUAUUUUACAGAAGCCCUUUGUUUUCUCCUUUCAUGUACAGUUUCUAAAUACAGACCUGUAGUAUUUUUCCCAUGGGUUUGGAAGAUCUGAAUUUCUCCCGAGAUGACUUCCUAAUUUUUUCAACCACCACUUCACCCUUGUUACUUAUCUGUCCUGAUAUUUCACCUUUCUAAAGUUUUGAAUCAAGGCAUUAUCUGUGUGAAAUGUCUGGUCAAGCAGUUAUAGAUUACAAAAGCUCAUGUCUGGGGCUCUUCAUCUAGUAGAGAUGGGAGGUGAGAGGGACCAGGCCGUCAGAGAAAAGGGCCUAAGUAUCUCUAAUCUUCUCUACUCUCCUUUAUUCUCUGCCUUAGGAAUGAUUGCACUUCAGAAUGAGUAUUACAGAGAAAUAUUUUUUUCUGCCUUUUCUGAAGACUUCACUAGCUGUAGUUGCUCUAGGAUUCCCCAAGAUGAUAUCUGAGUAUAAAUCAUUUCUAAAUUUUUAUUAAAAAUUGAUGCAAGAGAGAGCAGUGAGAACAAAAUUGGGAUCUUAGUCUAAAUUCUGUUCAGUUUCUGUUUUUCAGUUACUCUGGGUAUAAAAUGUGAAAAUAUAUAGAAGUGGAUAAUCCAAUUUUGUUUCAGAAGUAAGUGUUUUAUUGUUCAGUGUAGAAGUGGAUACUCCACUUACACAAAAGAAGAGUUGUGAAUCUGUGAAUCUGGUUGUUGAAUCUUCACUGGGAUUUUAUUUUCCACCAGUUUUCAUUUCCACAUUUCAUUUCCUUCCUGGUCCUGUGCGCCACGUAUCCAAAUCUCUGUGUGACCAAAUGCAACGAUACAUGGGCCAUGUGGUUUGAAGAAAGAAAUGGGGAGAUGGGGUGGGGACCCUAGAUUCAGAUUAUCCACCAGCAAAUUGCCCCAGCAGCCACAGACUUAGCCUUGGCCCUGUGCCGCACGCACUUGCCGCUCCUGAGUUAGUUGGUUUAGUUGAAAAGGCCAGAGCUGUGCUUCCACCGUCAAAGGUCAAGAUCACUGAUGGGUGCCAGUGGUCCCUCUGAAGACCCUAAUGAAAGUAAGGCUACAGGCUGCCUUGCAUUCUCCAGGAAUUCACAUAGAGGUAGUUAACUUGUUGGAAAUGCACCUUUGGUUUUUUUGGAGUGGAAAAACCGGCGCUAAUUGACAGGGUAGGAGAUGUCUGGGUAUGUUGGAGGACUCCUUUUUCUUUAAAUGGAGGGGGGAAAAAAGACAUGCAGAAUUUCUAUUUUGAUGAACUGACUCUAGGUGGCAACAACACGCUGUGUAGCCUUACCAGAGACUAGUCAGGCAAAGACUAUUGAAUGCUUCUUACACAUAGGCAAAAAAAUGGUAGCAGUUUCAGUACUGCUUCUAGAAAAUUUUCUAGCUGAUUGAACCAGCUGCACAUUGCUAGAAACAUUUCCAGAUUCUGUCAGUUUUCAUUGUAAUAGAGGACCUGGGUUUUCAACACGUAUUUUGAAUAAGAUGCUGCAUGUUUCAUUUUGUAGGCAUAAUGCUGCAGGUGUGCAGAGGAAAAUUAGCAAACUAUUCUCUUUUGGUUAUCCUGUUUGGAUGGGCGAUCUCAGGAAGUGCAUGUAUAAUCCUGAUUUGUAAUGAUGCCUGUAAAAGUGCACAGAUGGGUAUGUACAAUUGCAGUUCUGUGGCAUUCACCAACGAUGCUCUUGAAAUGCCACUUCAUCACCUUGUCAAAAAACCAGCCGCACAGAUACCUACAAAAUGCUUGCCACAUCCUCUGUGUAAAACACUGCUUUAUCUGCCAAAAGAUUUGUAAUGGCCUAUUUCACUCCUUCACUACAUAUCCAGCUUCCUGGGCUUAGCGGUAGAUAAGCAAACACUUGCACAAUAUAAAAAUUUUCACAAGUAUGAUGAACUGCAGUGUUUUCGCAUUUUUCUCAAAAGUCAGUUUGACUGUUAACUCCACUGACCCUUGAAAUAUUUAAAUCUGUUAUUGAUGUGUUCAUAGACAUAGGGAGAAAGCAGAGAAAAAAAUACUAGUUUUGAUUACCUGUUGCAGCAAAGAAAGAACUGUCAUUGUAACUGUACUACAUACUAAUAAUGACCACAGAAAAUCUUUCAAGUGUCAUGACAUCAUGUUUGUAGCAAGGCCAAAGUGUCUGAUGGCAUCUACAGGAUAUGAUAAACUUCUUUAUUACUCUGUCAAAGUGACAAAGCUGUGAAACCCUGUGAUUAAAUCAGCUGUUUUGUAUAAUUGAGCCAUUCACCUGCAUGUUGUCAAUUAAUAUCCUCUGAGGCUACUUCCAGUAUUUCAAAUCUCUAAGCUGCUUUCAAAGAAAAGAACUGUCAUUUAAAAUGUAAAAAUGUAUCACCUGAAAGCAAUUUCUUCCUUUCUUACCAAAGUGUGGAGUUUCCCUUUAAAUGAUACUAAAUCAGGUUUCCAGAUUCACAGUACUCUAAAUCAGUAUCUUAUAAUCCUCUAUAAACCUGGUAGACUGAUUUUUUUAAAUAAAUAUGUAUAAAUUAAUCAGGAUUUAUUCCUAGUAGGAAUAUAUAAACGUAUCUGGGAUGAAAGUGCCCUAAAAAGGAAAAACAGAAUCCACUAACCCUUUAAGGUACUUUGUAUCAAUGUAUUUUGUGUAACGCUUAUUUUUAUUAGUUUUUCUUCCUUUCAUUUAAGCAGUAGUUUUACUAUACAUUUUUCAAAAAGUGGGGACACGAUGGCAAAAGUAAUGGAAACACAAUUGGAAAAAUUGGUUUUAUCUAUGACAUAUUGUCCAUAUACAUAUCAUAAUAUAUUGUUUUUCAAGUUUCCUUGUGUUAAAAAGGCAUAUCUGUGUAAAAACAAUGCUGCUAACCAUGGUGGGUGUUUUCAGUUGUAUUCUGAGAUACCCACACUUACUCGGAGGCAUGUAUACCACCCCAAGAGGUGAGGUGACAGUUGAGUACACCAGCACUGAAGACUCAUUUUGGACAGGCCCUGAGAUCCUUCUCAACUCGUCUCCCCCACAGCUUGAGGAGACUUGAUAAAGUAUCAUCACGUAAAGCUAUCAUAACACCCGUCCUGUACUAUCUGCGGUAACCCUCAAAUGGAAAAAGUGACACUUUCAUUACAACCACUGCGGCUAUUUUCAGGAGUCAUUCACCUUGUGGCAUCUCACACCUGUUUGUCUCCCCACAGGCGUCCCAUGUGUCACCCCCGCUUUCCGAUGCUAGUAGCUCUCAUUUCCCUCACGUGCCCUGCAUGCUCAUUAUUUUCUUUCUGCUUCCCAUACCCGGUGUCCCAUUCUCUCCAUUCUCACCCCACAGUAGGCUCAUCUCACACUCCUUAGAGGUGGUAUUUUCAUGCCACAUUCCACAUCUUUUCCCAAAAAGCUUUGUCUACACUAAGAGUCUCUGCACUGUUUCUUCACCCAGUCGGGCUUCUCCCCUCAGGCUGCUACCUGGUUCUGUUUCCUUCCUUCCCUCUCCAUACCGAUACUUCUGUUGAUCCUUUCACACAUUGCUUAAGCUGUGGUUUUCUCUUUCAUGCCAGAUCUGUGUUGCACUGUGGGACUCCAUACUAGAAAUCCACCUUUCCUCCUGUCCUGGUUUCAGCUGGGACAGAGUUAAUUUUCUUUCUAGUAUUGUUAUUAUUUUGUUCCUUUCUGUCCUAUUAAGCUGUUCUUAUCUCACCCCACGAGUUUUACUUUUUUUUUUUGAUUCUCUCCCCCAUCCCCCUGGGUGGGGGAAGCGAGUGAGCGGCCAGGUUAAACCAUGACACCUCCAUGCCAGAAGCUUUAUGUGCCCCUGCUAAUUUUUGUCCCUCCUCCUAUUUCUUGUUACUUUCUCUUCCAAGGUGUCAACAUUUUGAACACAACUGGGUUCUAGGGCCAAAAUAAAAUCAGUAACACAUUGA